AACCACACUGGAGGAUCUUGCUAACAUGCAGAUUCUGAUUCAGGAGACCUGGGGUUGGGCCCAAGAUUCUGCAUAUUUAACAAGCUACCAGGUGAUGCUGAU
rnacentral:miRNA from 1 species